rnacentral:piRNA from 1 species
UACUGUUACAACUGGAUCCAUGCAAAUUC